UUCCAGACUCCUACGGGAGGCAGCAGUGAGGAAUAUUGGUCAAUGGCCGAGAGGCUGAACCAGCCAAGUCGCGUGAGGGAAGACGGCCCUACGGGUUGUAAACCUCUUUUGUCAGGGAGCAAAGGGCGCCACGUGUGGCGUUUUGCGAGUACCUGAAGAAAAAGCAUCGGCUAACUCCGUGCCAGCAGCCGCGGUAAUACGGAGGAUGCGAGCGUUAUCCGGAUUUAUUGGGUUUAAAGGGUGCGCAGGCGGAAUGUCAAGUCAGCGGUAAAAUUUCGGGGCUCAACCCCGUCGUGCCGUUGAAACUGCAUCCCUUGAGUGCGCGAGAAGUAUGCGGAAUGCGUGGUGUAGCGGUGAAAUGCAUAGAUAUCACGCAGAACUCCGAUUGCGAAGGCAGCAUACCGGCGCGCAACUGACGCUCAUGCACGAAAGCGUGGGUAUCGAACAGGAUUAGAUACCCCUGUA
rnacentral:rRNA from 1 species